rnacentral:rRNA from 1 species
GACGAACGCUGGCGGCGUGCUUAACACAUGCAAGUCGAACGGAAAGGCCCUGCUUUUGUGGGGUUCUCGAGUGGCGAACGGGUGAGUAACACGUGAGUAACCUGCCCUUGACUUUGGGAUAACUUCAGGAAACUGGGGCUAAUAUCGGAUAGGAGCUCCUGCUGCAUGGUGGGGGUUGGAAAGUUUCGGCGGUUGGGGAUGGACUCGCGGCUUAUCAGCUUGUUGGUGGAGUAGUGGCUUACCAGGGCUUUGACGGGUAGCCGGCCUGAGAGGGUGACCGGCCACAUUGGGACUGAGAUACGGACCAGACUCCUACGGGAGGCAGCAGUGGGGAAUAUUGCACAAUGGGCGGAAGCCUGAUGCAGCAACGCCGCGUGCGGGAUGACGGCUUUCGGGUUGUAAACCGCUUUCGCCUGUGACGAAGCGUGAGUGACGGUAAUGGGUAAAGAAGCACCGGCUAACUACGUG